ensembl:lncRNA
ACUGUAGCAUGUCUCUAUUUUCAUGGGUGUAUUCCUCUUCCAUUAUCAGCUAACAAUGGAUGGAGCUUGUCAAGUUGAGAGCUUGAUCAGACUGGGUGGAAAACAUAUGUGAACUUCAGGUCACUCCACAUCCUUUGGGGGUUUGGCCUUUGGGUGAGCCACUCAGGAACAGUCAGCUCUGUCUUAAGGCAGCUUCAGCAUUGUCUUGGCUGUUUGCUUCAGGACCUUUCUGCAUUUUGCUGCAUUCAUCCUUGUGACCACUUCCUGCUCCCUGCCACUCAGAAGCACACCCACAACAUCAUGUUGGCACCUUAAUGUUUCACAGUAGAGAUGGCAUUAGCAGGCGAUGAGCAGUGCCUGAUGUUCAACAAAGAGCUUAAAGUUUUCCUCAAAGAGUUCACUUUUUCUUUCGUCAGAUCAGAGAAUAUUUUCUGCCACAUGGUCUUUGAGUUUUUAUAUGCCAUUUGGCAAACUCCACACGGGCUGCCAAAAACAGGCAGACUGAUGCUGAGACAGCC